rnacentral:misc_RNA from 1 species
UCUCCGUAGGUGAACCUGCGGAGGGAUCAUUACAAGAGACCCCGGUCUUACCACCGAGACGAUCAUAACCCUUUGUUGUCCGACUCUGUUACCUCCGGGGUGACCCUGCCUUCGGGCGGUGGCUCCUGGUGGACACUUCAAACUUUUGCAUAACUUUGCAGUCUGAGUAAACUUAAUAAUUAAAUUAAAACUUUUAACAACGGAUCUCUUGGUUCUG